UUUUUUUUUUUUUUUUUUUUUCAAAUCACAAGCUGAAAGCACCUUUCUUAAUUAACAGAAAUACCAAAAGAUUGUGCACAAGAAGUCCGCAUAAAUUAAGACUACCCAGAGUGAUGUUUUUGACAGAAAGGACUUAAAUAAUCACAUAGCCAUAAGACAAAUAUAGUGUUAACGCAUAACUUCAUCUUGAGCUGAAAGACUCAAGUAAAACAACCCAGUGGGAAGGGUACAACUUGUUAUGUCGACAAAUUAUGGUCAAGCCCUAUGGGCUCGAGUCACAAACACAACCAGCAGGACCACCACGGAUAGCAGGAAGGAUGUUCUCAGCUUUUCCUCAAAUGGAUCUGCGGCUUCUGUUGUUUUCUUCUCAUUAUUAGGUGCUUUGAACAACUCAUUCAUCAGCUUCGUUAUUUUCUCAAUUGCUUCCGUGAAUUUUGCUUUUGUGUUUUCAAAUAUCCACUUUACAGCAUUCAAAGCAGGACUGGAGUCAUCGCCAGUCUCAUCUGAACUCUCUGUGGUUAGUGAACUAAUCUUUUUCUUCUGCACAGUAGGUCUCAUCAUGCAGCUCGCGGACUACCUCAUUGUUCAAAACAGCAUCCCAAACAGCUUUAUCAGAAGACAAUGAGAUGACCAUUCUCUGAACAGAUGGCUCAGUCUGCAAUAAAUGGAAAGCAUCAUAAACACUGUCAGGUCCAUAAGGGCGUAACAUUCUUGAGUUACACAGAUGUGGAGAAGACUCCCCCCAAUCUAAAUCUGACCCAGCUGGAGAAACAUGGUGCAGCAUGCCUGUUGAACUCAAAAUUUGAUCUGCUACAUCUUUGUCCACAUUAUAAGUAAAUUUAUCUGUAAUGGACUGGGGAUGCGAAGCAGCAUCAUAUAUCUGUGUAAGGGCAGAGACAGCGCUAUGAACUUCGUCCAUGGAAGGAACGGGUCCCAGAACAAAAUCAUCAGAAACUCCAAUUGUGCUCUUAUAUUCACUCCCAUCCUUAUACACCCACUCAUACUCAUCACAAUAAGAAUCAUCAGAAGGAGCAAAAGAAGGCCAGGAAGAGGCGUCGGGACUCCCAUAAUUAGCAGAUACGGGAACAUUGCAAGCAGAAGCAGAAGACAAACUAAGAUUAUUAUUGGAAGAAUUGAGCCCGUGGGUUGACCUAGAAAUAGCAGUAGGGGAAGUAGCAGUGCCACAAGAAGAAGAAGAAGAAGAA
rnacentral:misc_RNA from 1 species